AUUGAACGCUGGCGGCAGGCUUAACACAUGCAAGUCGAACGAGUGGCGGACGGGUGAGUAAUGUCUGGGAAACUGCCUGAUGGAGGGGGAUAACUACUGGAAACGGUAGCUAAUACAGCCUACCAUGGGAUGUGCCCAGCUGGGAUUAGCUAGUCGGUGGGGUAAAGGCUCACCUAGGCGACGAUCCCUAGCUGGUCUGAGAGGAUGACCAGCCACACUGGAACUGAGACACGGUCCAGACUCCUACGGGAGGCAGCAGUGGGGAAUAUUGCACAAUGGGCGCAAGCCUGAUGCAGCCAUGCCGCGUGUAUGAAGAAGGCCUUCGGGUUGUAAAGUACUUUCAGCUGGGAGGUGUUACCCGCAGAAGAAGCACCGGCUAACUCCGUGCCAGCCGCCGCGGUAAUUC
rnacentral:rRNA from 1 species